rnacentral:rRNA from 1 species
UUAGUACGGCGAGUGAAGCGGUAAAAGCUCAAAUUUGAAAUCUGGUACUUUCAGUGCCCGAGUUGUAAUUUGUAGAAUUUGUCUUUGAUUAGGUCCUUGUCUAUGUUCCUUGGAACAGGACGUCAUAGAGGGUGAGAAUCCCGUUUGGCGAGGAUACCUUUUCUCUGUAAGACUUUUUCGAAGAGUCGAGUUGUUUGGGAAUGCAGCUCAAAGUGGGUGGUAAAUUCCAUCUAAAGCUAAAUAUUGGCGAGAGACCGAUAGCGAACAAGUACAGUGAUGGAAAGAUGAAAAGAACUUUGAAAAGAGAGUGAAAAAGUACGUGAAAUUGUUGAAAGGGAAGGGCAUUUGAUCAGACAUGGUGUUUUUUGCAUGCACUCGCCUCUCGUGGGCUUGGGCCUCUCAAAAAUUUCACUGGGCCAACAUCAAUUCUGGCAGCAGGAUAAAUCAUUAAGAAUGUAGCUACUUCGGUAGUGUUAUAGCUUUUUGGAAUACUGUUAGCCGGGAUUGAGGACUGCGCUUCGGCAAGGAUGUUGGCAUAAUGGUUAAAUGCCGCCCGUCUUGAA